UCGACGCGUCCUCUUUGUCCCCCCCCCAACCCCUAACUGUCCCCAACGUCCGCUGUCCUACGGCUGUGCCCCCCGUCAGCAGCGUCCCCAGCGUGUCCCCAAAAACGUGUCCCCAAAAACGUGUCCCCAAAAACGUGUCCCCUUUCGUGUCCCCCACCCUGUCCCCCUCUCGCCUCUCUUGUUGCCCAAACGUCUUCGUUGUGUCCCCAGCGUGUCCCUGUCACGUCCCCAGCGUGUCCCCGUUGUGUCCCCACGUCCCCAGCACGUCCCCAGUGUCUCCCCAGCACGUCCCCAGGGUGUCCCCAUGUCCCCAACGUGUCCCCAAGGUGUCCCCGUGUCCCCAGUGUGCCCCCCUCAUGUCCCCAGUGUCUCCCCAUGUCCCCAACACGUCCCCAGCAUGUCCCCAAUAUCUUCCUAAUGUGUCCCCAUGUCCCCAACGUGUCCCCAACGUCUCCCCAUCAUGUCCCCAUGUCCCCACCAUGUCCCCAUCAUGCCCCCAGUGUCUCCCUAGCGUGUCCCCAUGUCCCCAACGUGCCCCCAUCAUGUCCCCAGUGUCUCCCAACAUGUCCCCAGCGUGUCCCCAACAUGUCCCCUUGUCCCCAGCAUGCCCCCAUCAUGUCCCCAGUGUCUCCCCAUCGUGUCCCCAUGUCCCCAGCGUGUCCCCAUCGUGUCCCCAACGUCUCCCCACCGUGUCCCCAUCAUGUCCCAGUGUUUCCCCAACAUGUCCCCAUCAUGUCCCCAUGUCCCCACCGUGUCCCCACCAUGUCCCCAGUGUCUCCUCAUCGUGUCCCCAUGUCCCUAGCAUGUCACAAUCAUGUCCCAGUGUUUCCCCAACGUGUCCCCACCGUGUCCCCAGUGUGUCCCCAUCAUGUCCCCAUGU
rnacentral:lncRNA from 1 species